ensembl:snoRNA SNORD115 Small nucleolar RNA SNORD115
GGGUCAAUGAUGACAACAGAAAGUCAAGAACAGUAUGAUGACAUAAAAAUCAUGCUCAAUAGGAUUACACUGAGGCCC